rnacentral:rRNA from 1 species
AUAAAAAAUAAGACAAGUCGUAACAAAGUAAAUGUACUGGAAAGUGUAUUUAGAAAGA